CCGGAGGGAGACGGUGCUUCGGGAGAACCAGGUGUUGCUUCCGUUCAGGGAGCAGUUCCGGUGGAGCUCUGAGCAUGGAGGGCCGGACUUCAGGGAAUCGGGGAGGGAGAAACCCCAACAAACUCCACAAACAAGUGCACAGAUCCGGGAAGGGAAGACUGCCUUGACAGGAGUUCACAUCAAAGAGACCCAGGACUUCGGCUGACCUCGGGUUCGGGUUCGGGCCUGGUUUGGAGGAUGACGCCGGUGAUACCUACGGAGGAGAAGGCAGCGGUCCUUAGAGCCAGCAUGGGUUCACCAGGAGCCGGCAAAUCUUUCGGAUUCUCGACAGCCCCAUGAGGUAAAUAUUAAAUAAGAGGACUCGGCACGUGGUGGUUUAAUGGAUGCGGAUCAAGAGUCAAGACGCCAAGCCAAGAAAGAAUUUGAUCCUGGAGCCUGGGAGGAUUAUGCAUUGUGGAAAACCCAGAAUGAGAGCUGAUUCUGGAGGAGAGAGGAGGACUGGUGGCUGACCUGGGACAGACAGGGCGACAUGUCCACAUGGUCCCAGGGACGACGCCUGGGCUGAUUCAGGGAUGUCGCCAAGAGGCAGAGUCUGGCUCCGUUCGAGGAAGAACUGUGCACCGAUUGCUGAUAUUCUAACCACGAAGGAGGCAAUAAAGGAGUUUCCGUCCCCGGAGGAGGCCUCGAGCAGAGGGUGGACUUGCUGAAGAUGCUGCAGAAGGGAGCCAGGCUCCAGGUGGGUGUCAUCCUUGAUUUCUGGGGCGGAGAGGGGGUCCAUGAAUCCUGAGAGAGGGGCUGUGCGGCUACCCAGAGGUGGUGCUGUUCCCUUGGAGCCUGUCCCCCGGCUUGUAUUGCUACGUCCUCGGCCCAAGAGUACUUGGGAUGCUUGAAAUGAGCAGUCUGGGAAGGUAAGAUGUGAACACAUAAAUAUCCUCAUUAAGUCCCAAAUACACAUCCCAAACUUUACAUAACCAGAGCAGCAGCUGGAGACGCCCACAGCCCUAAUUGGGUUUCUGUACUAAGAGAACGUCUUCUCCCCGGCUCUGCUUAUCCCAUUCACGUAGGUAAUUACCAGAGGGAGCCAGCUGUGGGGGACUGGUGGGCAGGUGGGCACCCACCCUCGUGGGUGCACCAUGAGGAUGGGGUGCCGGGGGGGCGCUGAAACCCUCUGCUCUCUUCGUGGGGGGCAGGGCCUGGGGACGGGAGGCCCAGACUGAGCUGCUGGGACAGGGCGCCUGACCCCCUGGGGACCUGACAAGCACGUUCAAGGCUGUGGAGAAGGCCUGGCGACGGGAGUGGAUGGAAGGAGAUGCUUCUGUUUGCCCGACGGCUCAAGCCAGCUCCGUUCCCCCAGCCCCGAGUGGCAGCUCCUCGGGCCGGAAACAAUGUGCUUUCUCCACGCCUGGGAGUGGAAGUCAGCAGUUUGGCACCGUCUGGCUGGCAGCCUCCACCGGCUUCCUUUGGCACUUUAUUGGCAAAGGCGGUGACAUUUCUUUCAGUUGGGUGGGUGGAGCUGUUAUGCAGACUCCCGCUCUCCUCAUUCGCCAGAUGAAUAUUCAUGACUCAGGCAAUCUGUACCAGCCAGACUUUCCUGAGGGCGGCAGCUUUUCUUCUCUUCCUCUCUCUCUUUUUCUUUCUCCUUCUCUCCUUCCCAGCUCUUUGGAAAGCUGGAGUACAGCUAUAUUUAAUUUACAAAUACGGAGCUAUUUAGCUUGCCUUUUGGGGUGCAAGCCCUGGGGAGGAGAUGCCGGUGGGGGGGUGGGGAGAAAGGUGGUGGAAGCACUGGGUCCCUGACCUCGGGCUUCUAGGUCCCCGGGGCCCAGAUCAUGGGAAGCCUUAUGGGCCUGGGAAGCUCCCUUUGAGCUUGGCAUUUUGGUGCCCACAUGCCUGAAGAUGCAGCAGCUUGUGGCACCUCGGUCCACACCGGCCGCUGAGGUCGACGAGGAAGUCGGAGGAAGCGUGCUGCUUUCCCACUCAAUGCAUGGCAGGCCCCAACGAGGUAUCACGGGUCCCCCGAACCCCCUACCAUGCUCUCCUGCUUGCUCAGCUCCACCCAGACCCCCUCCCAGCCCCAGACAAAAGCCCAGAAGGCACCAGGGCAUUUACUAGUCCUUGCUUUUCAGAGAAACCAGUCCCUGCUUGGGGUCCAGUUCCCUGCGGACACACCUGCUCCCUUUCUAGGAAGGAUGGCUACCUAGCUCCUUUUGUCUCCUCCCGCGGAGGCACCAGAAACUCUGGCAAAGGGCUCAGGAUUUCCAGAAUUUGCCAGGGAAUUUGGUCCUUAGCGAGGAUGUUCUCGUGUAUGUCUUGUGUGUGUGUGUGUGUGUAUGUAAAUAUUUACACACAGCUUAAGUGAGUCUGUAUGCCUACAUCUAUGUUCAAGUGUUUGAGUGUGUGUCUGUAUGUGUAAGGGCGUGAAUGUGUAUGUGGCGGGAAGUCUGGGAAUGUCUGCAUGUGUGAAUGUGCCUCUCCCGUUAGAGUUGCGCGUGUAUCUCUGUGGGUCUGGGGCGUUGUGUACUCCUGGGGGGCAGAGACUUGCGUGCGUGGUGUGUGUGUGUGUGUGUACAUGCAAGUGAAUUGUCGAUGUGUGUACAAGUGUACGUGUGCAUGUGAACGUCUGGGAGAGCAUGCGUGUGCAUGCACGCGCGCACGCGCGCGCGCACGCGUGUGUGUUGGAGAGAGGGUGUCAUUCCCCCUGACCUCCGUUCCCUCCGGAACCUCAUCCUCUCUAGCGAGGUGGAGGGAGACGUCCCCCCGCCCCUUGCAAGUGUUACAGAUUCUAUCCAAGGACGGGAACAGAAGGCUUCCCAGCACAGAGCGUCCUGAAAUUACUUUAUAUUCCCCCCUCCUUGUUUCAUCUAAUCAAAAUAGCAGCGUUAGGCUCACCCAUUCCCUCUGCCCACCGCGUAGCCCCAGGGCAGGAGCGAGGCGGGCCAUCCUGUCUGACCUCCUCUGAGAGCACCUUGCAGCCCCAAGCCAAGGAGCUGUCUUCCAAAUCUCCUCGUUCCACGGCCCAUGCUUCAGUGGCAAGAGCCAGCUGCCUCCCUGCCUGCCAGCAACCGCCAAGCGCUUCCAGAACCCACAUCCAGGCUCAGCCUCAUUUACAAAUAUGCAAAUUUGCAUCUUUUCUGGUAUGCAAAUGGAGACAUGACAAAUAGCUAAUUAGGGUCAAAAGAAGCACUCUGAACCAAUUAGUUGUAGGGUCGAUUCCUUUCUGCUGGGAGGAGACUGGCCCCUCUUGCCGCCCUCCAUCCCUGCCCGCCCCCCCCAGGCCCGCACACUCUGGCCUGGCCUGGCCUGUCUGACCAGGAUGGUCAAAGAGCACCGAGAUGGGAGUCGAUGCUCGAACCCCAGGCCCACGGUGGCUCUUCGCUGUGUGACCCUGGAUGCCCUUGCCGGAACUUCAGCGUCCCCCCUCUGUGAAAUAGAGCAACGGCAGUGACCUGUCCCUAAACCUCCGGCCCAGUGUAGUAAGACCCCGGGGGCAGGGAGGGGGUGGCUGAGAAGUCAGGAGCCUUUGCAAACAGUAGGGCAAUUCCUCUGAUAGACACAUCGCCUGUGUUCUCCCGAAGCAUCCAGUCGCCCCGUCUGCCCCCUGAAUUAGAUGAAUCAGAGGUGGCGACGGCAUGGCAGCGAGUCUCCUCCCGGCUGCCAGCUCUGGCCAGUUUUGAACGUCGGCCUGCAGCGGCGCAUCGAGAGGGAUUUCCAAGCCAAGUCUGGAUUCCCCAGAAGAGACUGUGAUCGAUUACUGAUGUCUGCUGUGGGCAAGCGAUGGGAGCCUGGCUGCUCCCCAGGUGCAGCCUUACCGACCGGCCCCUGGGUUCUUGUCCUGGCUGCUCCCUGGAGGAAUCGACUUCCCCUUUUGAGCUCGCCACCUGGUCGGGAUGACACAGGCGCCAUCCGACCCGGGUCAUCGUAGGCAAGAGGCGAGAGAAGGUGAGGCAAAACCUGCCCUUUGUCCGGGGGUGAUAGGUACACUUAGGUGACACAGUUGGUGGGACAGGUACGUUGCCCCGUUUCGGGGGUGGGGAGCAGAGGUGGAUGACUUGUAGUAGAGGCAUCGGCCUUGCCAGGCAGGCUUGCACAGCGGCCGGGUUGCUCUUCUCUCUGCCCCUGCAGCAUCUUGGCUCCCUCCCGCCACCCCUGCGUCGAUGCCCCAAGCACGCUGCAACAAGCCCCGCUGGCCUGGCUCCACGGCUGGGUGUGAAAUUUGGCUGAGUCGGCACCUGGGAGAAUUGGGGCAAUUGCCAUCCUGGAGCCCGGGGCCUGGCCCGGGGCCAAAGGGCAGACUAGAGGUGGUGGGAGGGAGGGCCUGAGUGCCAGGGAGCCAAGCAAGGCUGGGCGGCUGGCAGGGGUGCGUCAGGAGAGCACCUGGCUUGAAGCUGGCCGGCCUGAGGGUGCUGAGAGCCCCAGGCCUGAGCUCGGAACAGCGCCCAGCUGUGUACGUGUGCCUGGCCAUUGGCUGUGCCCGAGCACGUCCUCGAGCGUGCCCUUGCGUGUGUGCAUUCACCUCCUCUGGGAACGUGUGUUCUGGUAAAUGUGCGGCUGUGCAUCAAUAUCGGUAUAAGAACAGGCAUGUCUGUGUAGUCGUGCACACCUGUCCAUGUGUGCGUAGCCGGGUGUGUGCCUGCACAUCUGCGUGGGGGUGAACUCCUCGUGUGCACACAUCUGUGAGUAUCCAGGUACGUGUGUCUAGGCAUUUCUUUUUUUUUUUUAAGAUUUUAUUUAUUCAUGAGAGACACACAGAGAGGCAGAGACACAGGCAGAGGGAGAAGCAGGCUUUUGUGGGACUCGAUCCUGGGACCCCGAGAUCAUGUCCUGAGCCAAAGCCAGAUGCUCACCUACUGAGCCACCCAGGUGCCCCGCGUGUGUCUAGGGAUUUCUGCCUGUAUGCACGGGUGUCCUUUCAAUCUCUGUCCCGGCGUGUGCCUCCUGGUGCGUCCACACAGGUACGUCCACACGGGUGCAUGCCUGCCCACCUCUGUCGGUGUCCAUGGAUGUGGCUCCACGCCCUUCUGUUGGCACCGAGGCGCACAUCACUGUCAGCACGUCUGUCCUCUCCAGGGCCUCUGGGCGUCUCUGGAUGUUGUAUCUGUUAAGUCUGCCCCGUACGUGCAUUAGCGAGUGCUUCUGGGGCUGUGCCCAUCGACUGGUGCAUUUCUGGGGGUGCACCUCUACCUGCGAGGGUGUUGGGAUCUACCUCCGCCUGCAGGCGUGGCUGUAUCAAGAGCCUGGCCCAGGCUGCGGUGGCGGUGACAGAUGAGCCUCGGAAGCCCGCUUCAGCCUCUGAAGGGGGCUCCCUACGUUCCUCUCCCACGUGGACUCGGCCCCAGAGCCCCAGAGGCUCCCGGCUUUCUAAACGCGAGCUGUCGCCUCGCCUGCUGCACGUGAGUCCUCACCCCAGAGGCAGCGAGAACCCGGGCCGCCUCCUCCUUCCCCUCGUGGCGCCCCUCCCAGCCCUCCUACCUGCUGGCGGGCAGCCUCGCCACCUGCUGGGACAGCUGCCAGCUUGGACUUCAGGGCACGUGUGCCCCUGCUCGGCGGUCUGUGUCUCGACGGUCCCUCUGCCAUCUCUGGAACGUUCCUGGGAUUUGACUGGGGGCUACUCUGCUCUUGCCCUGGUGAGACCGCCCUGCCCAGGUCCCCGGCUCAGUCCCGGGCCACCUCACUGGGAUGUGUAUCCCCGCACGGGCCGGCGGCUGUGCAGGGACGGGGUUCGGGGU